rnacentral:rRNA from 1 species
GAUCAUGGCUCAGGACGAACGCUGGCGGCGCGCCUAACACAUGCAAGUCGAACGAGCGAGAGAGAGCUUGCUUUCUCGAGCGAGUGGCGAACGGGUGAGUAACGCGUGAGGAACCUGCCUCAAAGAGGGGGGACAACAGUUGGAAACGACUGCUAAUACCGCAUAAGCCCACGGGUCGGCAUCGACCAGAGGGAAAAGGAGCAAUCCGCUUUGAGAUGGCCUCGCGUCCGAUUAG